rnacentral:lncRNA from 1 species
GGGAGGCCGGGAGGGGUCCCUGGGCGGGGAGUUGCUGCGCAUCUGUUGUGUGUGUGCGUCUGUCUGUCUGUUCAGGUCUGUUUUAGGCUGUGUCUGCCUGUCUCUCUGUCUGGGUCUCUUUCAGGCUGCGUCGGUCUGUCUGUCUGGGUCUGUUUCAGGCUGUGUCUGUCUGUCUGUCUGGGUCUGUUUCAGGCUGUGUCUGUCUGUCUGUCCGGGUCUGUUUCAGGCUGUGUCUGUCUGUCUGUCCGGGUCUGUUUCAGGCUGUGUCUGUCUGUCUGUCCGGGUCUGUUUCAGGCUGUGUCUGUCUGUCUGUUUGUCUGGGUCUGUUUCAGGCUGUGUCUGUCUGUCCGGGUCUGUUUCAGGCUGUAUGUGUGUCUGCUCUUUGCUUCUGCUCCUGGCUCUGUGUGUAUUUCCCGGGUCCUGUGG